UACGUAGGCAGCGAGCGUUUGUUCGGAGUUACUGGGCGUAAAGGGUGUGUAGGCGGUUGUUUUAAGUUUGGUGUGAAAUCUCCCGGCUCAACUGGGAGGGUGCGCCGAAUACUGAAUGACUUCGAGUGCGGGAGAGGAGAGUGGAAUUCCUGGUGUAGCGGUGAAAUGCGUAGAUAUCGGAAGGAACACCAGUGGCGAAAGCGGCUUCCUGGUCCAGCACCGACGUCAGGCACGAAAGCGUGGGGAGCAAACGGGAU
rnacentral:rRNA from 1 species